rnacentral:rRNA from 1 species
UACGAAGGGGGCUAGCGUUGCUCGGAAUCACUGGGCGUAAAGCGCACGUAGGCGGGUUGCUAAGUCAGGGGUGAAAUCCUGGAGCUCAACUCCAGAACUGCCUUUGAUACUGGCGAUCUUGAGUCCGGGAGAGGUGAGUGGAACUGCGAGUGUAGAGGUGAAAUUCGUAGAUAUUCGCAAGAACACCAGUGGCGAAGGCGGCUCACUGGCCCGGUACUGACGCUGAGGUGCGAAAGCGUGGGGAGCAAACAGG